rnacentral:rRNA from 1 species
AUUGAACGCUGGCGGCAUGCCUUACACAUGCAAGUCGAACGGCAGCACGGGAGCAAUCCUGGUGGCGAGUGGCGAACGGGUGAGUAAUAUAUCGGAACGUGCCCAGUCGUGGGGGAUAACGCAGCGAAAGCUGUGCUAAUACCGCAUACGAUCUACGGAUGAAAGCGGGGGAUCGCAAGACCUCGCGCGAUUGGAGCGGCCGAUAUCAGAUUAGCUAGUUGGUGGGGUAAAGGCCCACCAAGGCGACGAUCUGUAGCUGGUCUGAGAGGACGACCAGCCACACUGGAACUGAGACACGGUCCAGACUCCUACGGGAGGCAGCAGUGGGGAAUUUUGGACAAUGGGCGCAAGCCUGAUCCAGCAAUGCCGCGUGCAGGAUGAAGGCCUUCGGGUUGUAAACUGCUUUUGUACGGAACGAAACGCCUCCUUCUAAUACGAGGGGCUAAUGACGGUACCGUAAGAAUAAGCACCGGCUAACUACGUGCCAGCCGCCGCUGUAACAC